CAGGAUUAUAUCUUUGCGCAGAAUAUCUUACUUCAUUUUCAGAAUUAGAUUUUUGAGGAGAUUCACUUACUUCAGCUUCAGCAUUAGAUCUUUGGGUUGACUCUCCAUCACUAGCAGUAGAACCUUCCACAGAUUUGCUUGAGCUUAGUGCAGAUUUUUUAGCACCAUCCCCAACAACUGAACCUUGAACGGACUCUUUCAAUUCAUCUCUAGUGACAGAGAUUUGCAACGAUUCUUUCAAUUCUUGCCCACCAGGAAAGAAUUGGUCAAAAGAUGGCCUG
rnacentral:misc_RNA from 1 species